UACAGAGGUCCCAAGCGUUGUUCGGAUUCACUGGGCGUAAAGGGUGCGUAGGCGGUCGGGUAAGUCUGAUGUGAAAUCUCACAGCUUAACUGUGAAACUGCAUUGGAUACUAUCCGGCUUGAGGAAUGGAGGGGAGACUGGAAUACUUGGUGUAGCAGUGAAAUGCGUAGAUAUCAAGUGGAACACCAGUGGCGAAGGCGAGUCUCUGGACAUUUCCUGACGCUGAGGCACGAAAGCCAGGGGAGCAAACGGG
rnacentral:rRNA from 1 species